GUUUAUUCUUCUUGAAUUACUCGGGCUGGGAAAGAAUUGUUUGGGCAAUGUUCUUCUUCAUUGAAGUCAAGCCCUACUUUGUCUGGAUAUGCAAUUUUUGCAUAUCUAGCACUGUAGAAACUGGUGGAUUCGAUUGCCGAUGGCUAGACCUAAGCAGCAAAAACCCACUAGAAGAUCCGCAGCGAUCAGGUUCCUCAUUUGAACUUUUUCAUAUUGAGAGACCGGUUGUCUGUAGUCUUCAUCUAGGAUGUUGACUUCUGUCACUUUUCUGAACGCUCUGCGAAGAGAAGCUGACAGCGAGGAAUGCAUCCAGAGCAACUAAGACCAGCGCACAAGGAAGUGAGAGCUGCGUCAGAGAUAAGGUGUCUGAGACUUUCAGUCUUGACAUGGUCUUUGACGUGGCUUCUCGCAUUUUAUUUCGCAAUCUUGCGUAACAUACACAAACACGAGUUCUUCGCCUGCCAUCUUUUUGGCUGUGCGGACGUUCUUUGGUAUCUGAUGAGAAGAGUUUCUUGAUUGAGAUUCUUCUCUUCAGAUGCCUGUAGUGAUAGUUACCUGGUUGAUUCUGCCAGU
rnacentral:misc_RNA from 1 species